ensembl:lncRNA
CUUAUUAGGGAAUUAGCACAUCUACCAGAAGGAUCACAUACUUCCUAGAAUGUACUCCAUCUUCAGGCAUGUGUAUGUUCUCAGGAGAUGUAGUUCUUUGUAAUUGUUUUAGAAGGUUUUGAAGAAAAACUGCCUUCAAUAAAUAAAAAUUGCUGAAGUUGUUGUAUUUUAAUCCAGUAGAAAUGUAAGAAUAAUUACACUAACUUUUUGUUGGCAAGCUGCAGUUCCAACAACUUGUUAUCUUGCAUAAAAUCUCAACUGACCUGCAUGUUAUGGGAUGAUUCAAGAUUUGUCUGACAGAGUAUCUGAAUUGUUUGCCCCUUCCUGUACCUUUAUCCCACCUCAUCUUUUAGAAAGACUUAAUUUCCUGACCUUAUUGAACUUACAAGGUGGUUCCCCAUCCAAUUCUCCUCCCUCUUGAGUUUUCUCUGGUCUGGUAGUUUCUGUCCUAGAACCAUAGGAUCAUUCUGUCCUCUGGGUGUAGGGGAAAACAUGCUGGCAGCUGCAGAGGAUCUGAAAUUAACAUUUGGCUUUGUAGGCAUUACCUGGCUCUGCCUCUUUUCCUGGUAUCCUCAUCAGCACGCUUUAAUCUUCCCUUCUCAAAUAAAAAUUCCCUCUGAUGGUGCUAAAUUUCUAAGCUGAACCGAAUCUGAAGUGCCCAAGCUGCUGAACCAAGAAUGGGCUUGAUCUGUCACUCACGCAAGUGUAGAUCAGGUUAAAGCUUGCUUUGAAGUCAAUACUGUUGGUUUAAAAGUAAUGCAGCCAUGAGAGCAACCUGUCAGCAUGAGGUGAGCUGCCUGCAUUUGUUUCAGAGGGGUUUGAACACUGAUGUCUCUGGACUGUUUCACAGCCGCUGCUCUUCACAGGGGACCAAGAUAUGGGAGUGGAUUUACUUAAGUGAGAGAGAACUUCAGACCACUCAGGAUGGUCCCAAAAGCAUCAUACAAGUGACCAUACAGAACGAUAAUUCAGCACCAUCAGGACAUGAGUCUGGAGUCUGA